rnacentral:misc_RNA from 1 species
GAUGAAGAACGUAGCGAAAUGCGAUAAGUAAUGUGAAUUGCAGAAUUCAGUGAAUCAUCGAAUCUUUGAACGCACAUUGCACCCGCCAGUAUUCUGGCGGGCAUGCCUGUUCGAGCGUCAUUUCAACCAUCAAGCCCCCGGCUUGUGUUGGGGACCUGCGGCUGCCGCAGGCCCUGAAAACCAGUGGCGGGCUCGCUAGUCACUCCGAGCGUAGUAAUACAUCUCGCUCAGGGCGUGCUGCGGGUUCCGGCCGUUAAAAGCCUUAUUUACCCAAGGUUGACCUCGGAUCAGGUAGGAAGACCCGCUGAACUUAAGCAUAUCAAUAAGCGGAGGA